rnacentral:rRNA from 1 species
UACAGAGGGUGCAAGCGUUAAUCGGAUUUACUGGGCGUAAAGGGCGCGUAGGUGGAUGCGUAAGUGAGAUGUGAAAUCCCCGGGCUUAACCUGGGAACUGCAUCUUAUACUGCGUAUCUGGAGUGCAAUAGAGGGUAGUGGAAUUUCCGGUGUAGCGGUGAAAUGCGUAGAUAUCGGAAGGAACACCAGUGGCGAAGGCGGCUACCUGGAUUGACACUGACACUGAGGCGCGAGAGCGUGGGGAGCAAACAGG